rnacentral:rRNA from 1 species
GCUAAAUGCGGAAGAGAUAAGUGCUGAAAGCAUCUAAGCACGAAACUUGCCCCGAGAUGAGUUCUCCCUGAGACUAUAAGUCUCCUGAAGGAACGUUGAAGACGACGACGUUGAUAGGUCGGGUGUGUAAGUGUAGCGAUACAUUGAGCUAACCGAUACUAAUGAACCGUGAGGCUUAACCUU